rnacentral:rRNA from 1 species
UACAUGGGGUGCAAACGUUGCUCGGAAUUAUUGGGCGUAAAGCGCGCGUAGGCGGUUACUUAAGUCGGAUGUGAAAGCCCUCGGCUUAACUGAGGAAGUGCAUCCGAAACUGAGUAGCUAGAGUACGAAAGAGGGUCGCGGAAUUCCCGGUGUAGAGGUGAAAUUCGUAGAGAUCAGGCGGAACACCCGUGGCGAAGGCGGCCAGCUGGGCCGUCCCUGACGCUGAGGCGCGAAGGCGUGGGGAGCGAACGGG